rnacentral:rRNA from 1 species
UACGGAAGGCAGCAGUGGGGAAUAUUGGACAAUGGGCGAAAGCCUGAUCCAGCCAUGCCGCAUGAGUGAAGAAGGCCUUCGGGUUGUAAAGCUCUUUUAGUGAGAAAGAUAAUGACGGUACUCACAGAAGAAGUCCUGGCUAACUCCGUGCCAGCAGCCGCGGUAAUACGGAGAGGACUAGCGUUAUUCGGAAUUAUUGGGCGUAAAGAGCGCGUAGGCUGAUUAGUAAGUUAAAAGUGAAAUCCCAAAGCUUAACUUUGGAAUUGCUUUUUAAAACUGCUAGUCUAGAGAUUUGAAAGAGGAUAGAGGAAUUCCUAGUGUAGAGGUGAAAUUCGUAAAUAUUAGGAGGAACACCAGUGGCGAAGGCGUCUAUCUGGUUCAAAUCUGACGCUGAGGCGCGAAGGCGUGGGGAGCAAACAGGGAUUAGAUACC